CUCUGAUAACACUGGAUAUAUAAACCCGAAAUUUUUAUUCUGAUGACACAGUACCAAGUUGAGGUUCUCAGCAUAUCAAUUUUACUCUCAGACCAACUUAUUAUUAAGAAAAUGAUUUUCAUAACCAUGUCCAAGUUAACUGUUGUUUUAUUUUUGGUCACAUUGUUGGCGAUUGGCUCUUUUGCUUGCGUACAACAUGGAGAUCCCUGUACUGUGGAUGGUGAACCAUGUUGCGGAGGAGAUAUUUGCAGAGAAAAUUAUUUUGGUCGUUUGACAUGUGGCUUGACUAGCUUUAACUAACACGAUUUUG